AAUAGAUACCCGGGUAGUCCACGCCGUAAACGAUGAGUGCUAAGUGUUAGAGGGUUUCCGCCCUUUAGUGCUGCAGCUAACGCAUUAAGCACUCCGCCUGGGGAGUACGGCCGCAAGGCUGAAACUCAAAGGAAUUGACGGGGGCCCGCACAAGCGGUGGAGCAUGUGGUUUAAUUCGAAGCAACGCGAAGAACCUUACCAGGUCUUGACAUCCUCUGCCAACCCUAGAGAUAGGGCGUUCCCCUUCGGGGGACAGAGUGACAGGUGGUGCAUGGUUGUCGUCAGCUCGUGUCGUGAGAUGUUGGGUUAAGUCCCGCAACGAGCGCAACCCUUGAUCUUAGUCGCCAGCAUUCAGUUGGGCACUCUAAGGUGACUGCCGGUGACAAACCGGAGGAAGUGGGGAUGACGUCAAAUCAUCAUGCCCCUUAUGACCUGGGCUACACACGUGCUACAAUGGAUGGUACAAAGAGCUGCGAACCCGCGAGGGUAAGCCAAUCUCAUAAAGCCAUUCUCAGUUCGGAUUGUAGG
rnacentral:rRNA from 1 species